rnacentral:sRNA from 1 species
UCUACUGCAGUGUCACAAAUCUUCUGAAACUGUUGAUCUUAAACAAUCUUUGGAGGGAAACUAUUUGGUUGCUGAGAAUGAAAGUCGUUUUCAUUUGCUUUUUAACUUUCGCUCUUGCCACAGCUGGAGUCAGGCAGUGCGUCAACCAUUGUACUCAAGAAACCAACUCAGGAUGCCAUCAUAAUCAAAUUUGUGUCCACCAAGGCUGUAACCAGUACUGUGAAUUUAUUCUACCUAAAAGACUCGUUCAAUGUCCCAUGGUGAUGUGUGCAAUGUUUUGUGAAAAUGGAUUCAAAACAAGCCCUGAAACCGGAUGUUUUGCUUGCGCAUGCGCAUAAGCACUUUCCUUAUCUACAUGCAUUUCUGCCUCUUAUAGAAAAGGAAUUAAAAUUGUAAACAUUU